GACGGAGGAGGCAAGCGUUAUCCGGAAUCAUUGGGCGUAAAGCGUCCGCAGGUGGCCCAUCAAGUCUGCUGUUAAAGCUCAGGGCUCAACCCUGAACCAGCAGUGGAAACUGAUGAGCUUAGAGUGCGGUAGGGGUAGAGGGAAUUCCCGGUGUAGCGGUGAAAUGCGUAGAGAUCGGGAAGAACACCAGUGGCGAAAGCGCUCUACUGGACCGCAACUGACACUCAUGGACGAAAGCUAGGGGAGCGAAUGGGAUUAGAUACCCCAGUAGUCCUAGCCGUAAACGAUGGACACUAGGUGUUGCGCGUAUCGACCCGUGCAGUGCCGGAGCCAACGCGUUAAGUGUCCCGCCUGGGGAGU
rnacentral:rRNA from 1 species